rnacentral:rRNA from 1 species
CCCAAACGUAGAGGGAGUAACGACACCGAACGGUAGUGCUAUACCGUCACUAUGGUCUUCGGAUUAAGGAUUUAUCCGCUUUGGGAGUGGCCUGCGUACGAUUAGAUUGUUGGUGAGGUAACGGCUCACCAAGUCGACGAUCGUUAACUGGUCUGAGAGGAUGAUCAGUCAGACUGGAACUGAGACACGGUCCAGACUCCUACGGGAGGCAGCAGUAAGGAAUCUUCCACAAUGGGCGAAAGCCUGAUGGAGCAACGCCGCGUGCAGGAUGAAGGCCCUCGGGUCGUAAACUGCUUUUAUGAGUGAAGAAUAUGACGGUAACUCAUGAAUAAGCACCGGCUAACUACGUG